rnacentral:rRNA from 1 species
UACGUAGGUGGCGGGCGUGUCCGGAUUUACUGGGCGUAAAGGGCGUGCAGGCGGUUUGUUAAGUGCAGGGUGAAAGCUCCCGGCUCAACUGGGAGAGGUCCUUGCAUACUGGCGAACUCGAGGGAGGCAGAGGAAAGUGGAAUUCCCGGUGUAGUGGUGAUAUGCGUAGAUAUCGGGAGGAACACCUGUGGCGAAGGCGGCUUUCUGGGCCUUACCUGACGCUGAGACGCGAAAGCGUGGGGAGCGAACCGG